rnacentral:lncRNA from 1 species
GGCAGAAGACUCCUGUGCGUUAUAGCAACCAUGUGAGAAGGUAUAGGCAAAUUAUUACCAGCAUGGGACAGUCUGGUGGAUCCUAAAGCCUGAUCUGACUAUCUGCCAGUUUCUUGGGAAGGAUUAGUAGGUCUGUCCACCUGGACAAAAUCCACACUCACUGGUGAUUCUCAACUGUAGCUCCAGAUUAGGGAAACAUGGUUGUAGGACAAAGAGAUUUAUAGACUUUUUGGUCACACUGGUUACAAAAUCUGUUUGUAGAUCUUGGGAAAAUUUUAUAACCUUCCUUGACCUCAGUUUUAUCACCUGUAAUAAAGGUUUAAUACCUCUAUUACAGGGUUGCAAAGUACCUUUCAAGCAGUGCUCAAUAAGUGGCAGCCCUUCCUUAUUUUUAUGAAUAUUCCCUUGACAAUGAGCUACUUUCCCCUAAAUAUCAAUAUUUCUGUGGUUGACAUGUGCCUCAAAGUUAAUAUAUUCUGUCAGUGGCCAAACAGAAGAGUUAGUUAUUAAAUUGUUAUGUUGACUGAGAUAUAUGAACUUGUCUACACAUGGAGGCUAUUUAAUCACUUGAUAAUUCAGUUGAAAGUUCAUAUUAAUAUCAUUACAGGGAGUUUGCAUUUUCAGCUUAAAUUUGGAUCCUAAUUAUUGGUUUAAAUGCCUUUAAAAAUACUGCAUUAUGAUGCAGCAUUAAAGUAAAAUACAUAAUUUGUCUCUGGAAGAAUAAUUUACACAUGUCAGGGAAUGCAAUGAAAGCAAAAAGAAACUCCAAAAUUUCUCAGAAUAGCUCAUAAGAAUCUUAGAGAAGUUGGGGUGACCAAUUUAUGUGUUUGAAGGAGUGUGGUUUUGGUGGCAAGCAGCUCUCUCUUAAGAACUUUUGGUUGACUUUCAAGGGAAGCUGACUAACUUUCAGGAUCCCUCCUUCAUUUUCAGAAAAGAACAAAGCUAUGAGCAUUAUGCAAAUGAAACAUCAAUAUUCUUCUUUAUGCCGAGAGAUAACACUAUUAGUCCCUGAGAUUUGAAAAGGCCACUAUCAUGGGUGUAGUAUAUGCAAAGUAUAUCCAAAACUUAGCUUCCAAACUUGAUUAGGCCACAGAAGAAAAAAUUUGGAUGAAUAUCAAUCAUUGUUAAGUCUAA